rnacentral:rRNA from 1 species
UACGAAGGGUGCAAGCGUUACUCGGAAUUACUGGGCGUAAAGCGUGCGUAGGUGGUUCGUUAAGUCUGAUGUGAAAGCCCUGGGCUCAACCUGGGAAUGGCAUUGGAUACUGGCGACCUAGAGUGCGGUAGAGGGGUGUGGAAUUCCCGGUGUAGCAGUGAAAUGCGUAGAUAUCGGGAGGAACAUCUGUGGCGAAGGCGACACCCUGGACCAGCACUGACACUGAGGCACGAAAGCGUGGGUAGCAAACGGG